UCAUAUGCAGGCUAUCAUCAAGACAACAAGAUUAAGGAAUAGUGUCAACAUGUUUAAUCAUGAGAAUAAAUUGUAUAAUUAUUAUCUCACCUAUGUUAUGGUGGCGUUUCUAAAAGUUUGUAGAAUUAUUGUUAUGUUUAAAUUGGGUUGUAAGACUUUGAUAUUAUGAUAUCAAGUUUGGGGUUAAUAACAUGGUCUUGACUUAUUUUGUUGGGUAUAGAAUAAUUGUAAGGCUCUAAGAAGCCGAAAUAUUUUAUUUUAAAUUAUGAUGUCGUGUUAUUAUUAGUGGUGUGGAUGUGAUAUUUUAUAAAAUAUCAAAUCUAUUUAUUUUACGAAAACAAUUAUUAUUAGUUUUAAAUGUCUUUUAUUUGGUUUUUUCUACUCUCAAUUUAAAAACUUAAAUAUUUUUUAGAUAAUUUCUAUAAGGGAGUUGCUAACUUACACCCACCUAAAAAUACUAAGGUGCAAGUUAGCAAGUUACGCCCACCUAAAAUUAUUAAGGUGCAAGUUAGCAACCUACAUCCACUUGAUUAUUUACACUCAUUUUGAUAAAUUUUAACAAAUAUUUUACACCAACCUCACUAACUUACACCCACUUUCAUAAUUCCAAAUAAUGUUUUUGUCUUGAUUUUUUUUAAUGUUUUUAAAGCAUAUAGAUUUAUAUGUAUUUUGUUUCCUUGAAACUGUUUUUUUUUUACUAUUCAAUCUGCUGAUCCUUUUUCAUGCAUAAAAAUAUUUUUUUCCUAUUAAAUCUAUUGACCUCCUUCUUUUUCUUAUUAAAAUGAACAAUUUUUCUAAAGGCAAUUAUGUUUUUUUUUUUUAAUGAAAAGGCAAUCAGGCUUGUUCUCUUAAGCAAAUCUUUUGUUUAAAAAAAAAAGAAGUUGUUCUUAAUGUUAUAAUUGUAUGAGGGAAGCGAGUAGAUCUGUUCUUAUAAACAAAAAUGAACAAUAUUGUUAAAUUGACACAACUGCCCUUUAACUUCAAAUGACUUAUAAUAAUGGAGAUUGGUUGUUUUGUAAAAAAUAAGUUGGUGUAGCUUGCUAACUUGCACCUUAGUGUUUUUAGGUGGGUGUAAGUUAGCAACCCCCUUUCUAUAAUACUUAUUUUAUAAUUUAGGAUUUUAUGCAUUAUAUAUAAUAUAUGUUGGAAGAUUAUCAUGUUUAGUUACUUGGCCUAGCGGUAAAUGCUUCAUUACCCUGCAAUGCGUCUUGGGUUCAACACCCUCUACUCCCGUUGGUAAAAUGGACACUUCUAAACCAUUUUGUUGUUGCAUUUAUUUUGUCACAAGUUAGCUUUAUAAGUUGUUUGGGCUCCAGUGGCAAGGAGCUCCUUCAAGGACGUACCCAGGGAAUAUCCAGUUCGAUUUCCAGGGGGAACAACGCUUGGCCAGUGUGCAUGCCUCUACACACGAGCCGGAUUAGUCGUCCAUCUUUGGUGGGUCAGAAACCUGUGCAAAAGCCAAAUAUAUAUAUAUAUAUAUAUAUAUAUAUAUACUUUCUUCAAAGUUUUGUCUCACCUGUAUCGAAAGUCUGGGUCUGCCUCUGGGUAGUGCAUACACUAUUUUGUUUAAUAUUUAACUGUGUGCAUAACGACUCCCAAUAUUUUUGUGGAAAACUUAUUGUUUCGUUUCCCCAUUCAGAAACUUUGAUUGCGUGGAAAUAUUGAGUUAGGAAAGAUCGCUUCAACUCAUCCUACAUUCAUAUGGCAUUAGGAGGAGGCAUAGGAAAAAUCUAAAACCAAGCUCCAAGGGAAAAGGGGAAAAGUCUAGCCUCAAGUAAUCAUUAGUCACUCCAUCUAUUUUUAUAGUAUCACAACAUUUCGAGAAAAAUUUAUAGAUGAAAAUUUUGAUCAUCCAUUUGAAAACCAGAGAAUAGACAUUCUUUUUGCAAAAAUAUCCUUAAAUUAUGUUUUAUUUAAAAAUGUGCCACCAUAAUAAAAUAAAGGUUAAACUGCACUUUUCGAUCCCUAAGUUUUAAAAUGUUGCGAUUUUGGCCUCUAUUAAAAAAAAUUACAAAUUAGAAAUGUUGAAUUUUGAAAUGUUGAAUGUAAAUAGAAAUGUUGACUGUAAAUAGAAAUAGAAAUGUUGACUGUAAAUAAAAAUCACAAAUUACACGAACCAGGAGAAAUGUUGAAUUUUGAAAAUAAAUGAUCAAAUAAAUUCAAAACUAUUAUGAAUCGAUUCAUUUUUCAUUAGGAUGACGAUAAAUCAAUUAAUUCGUUUUUGAACUUGUGAAUCUAUUAACUAAAGGAGUGAAUUAAUUAAUACAACAUUUUUUCGCUACUUUUCAACUUUCAUUUUUUCUGAAAUCCUCCAAUGAUAAAUACAUGUUCCCACAAAUUUUCCAUUCAUUGAAAACACAUUCUCUAUACACUAUCUCAUACUAAAACACUCUCAUUAAAAGAAAAAGGCUAAACUGAAUAUUUGGCCCCUUAAUUUAUUUGUUGUUUUCAUAUUGAUCACAUAACUAAUUAACGUUACAUUUUUGUCCCUCAAGUUAGUCUCUGCCAAUGGUUGUCAUUUCGGAAAAAAAAUCAAACGGUUAAUAUUAAACAAAUUAAUGAGGUCUUUGACAGAGGAUAACUUGGUUUCCACUAAUACAAACAUUUUUGUGAUAAUAUUGGUUUCCCUCUCUCUAUUAUGAAAUAAUAAUAAUAAUAAUAAUAAUAAUAAUAAUGAAAAGUUGGUAAACGACAAUGAACUCUAAUUACAAGUAAAAUAUUUUUUUGAGAUUUACUCUAUGAGCUAAAGGGGCAAAUAUGAUUCAUCAAUGUACUUUAGGGACAUUUAAAAAUUAUUCUAACUUUAAAGGAUUUCUUGCAACAACAUAAUUAAAAUAAACUAUUUAAUUGAUGUAAACAUAACAAGAGGAUUUUUACUAUAUUUGUAAAGAAAAGAGGUUUUUUUACUAUAUAUAGUGAUCAAACCAAUUUCUAUUUGUUACAUGCAAAGGUGAAAAAAUGGUUGAAACUCUCAGGUUGUUUUAUAUUAUGAUUCUCUUUGUUUCCCUAUAUCUUGUUGUAGUUGAUGGAGUAAGUAAGUUAGCGCAAAGUUGUAGUGAGGACUUUGAGUGUUAUAUAAAAAAUCCGCAUGCUCCUUUUGGACAACUGAGGUGUUUUGAAGGUUAUUGCCAACGUUUGGACAAGCCUACAUAGUUAAGGUUAUUUUUUUCUCUAUUAUGUAUAUGAUUUUCAUUUAGUUUCUCUUCAUAAUGUUGUUUCUCUUACAUUUGUAUAUAUUUCUCUAACCUUGCAAUUUAAUUAAUAGCCUAUAAAAGAUAAGCAUGUUAAAUAUAUUAUUAAAUUUUUAUCUUUGUUUUCUUGGGAAUGAAGUAGAGAUGUUUUAUGGAUAAUAUGACCUAGGUUCUUGAUAUAUAAUCUAAUAAAAUUCAAAUUGAUAUAAUGACAAGUGAGAAAAGUAAAUUGUUGAAUUUUAUAUUUAAAGGUGUUAUCUUGAGGAUAUUUUGAUAAAUUUACCAACUAAUCACCUAAUAAUACCGUCAUUGUGAGAAUGUGAGAUGCCCUAACAUCCAAAGUUGAAACCUAAGUAAAUAACCUAUAUGUCAGUUGUAUUUGGCCGUUGACAAAGUUAAAAUUAAUGAUGAUUUCAUUUUAUAGAGCAUACGAAAAAUAAAAGAGGAAAUACAAACAUAUUGUACUAUUUGACCAGAUAAAGAAAGAUAAAAUAUGUCAUGCUAAAUGUAAAUUAACGAAAGAAACAACUCAAAAAUCAAUUAAUUGAAGAUCUGAUAUGUGAUAUUUUGUAGCAUUUGUAUAUUAAUUGAUCAUCAUGUAUAUAGUUGAGCUUUGAUCCUAACAUGAGUAAUAUAGUCAUUAUUAGUAUUAUUAUUAUUAUUAUCAUAAUUUAUUUAGUUUGUUUUUGUAACAUUUCUAUACUAAUUCCCAUAAAAAAAAAAUCUAUAAAUCAUAAUGUAUUUAGAGUAGAUUUUCUUCACAUACAAACUAAAAAGUUUUAAAGUCUUUAUCAUUUUCAUUUAGGCACAAUACCAUUGUUUUUGAAAUAUACCAAUUUAUAAGUUUGUACAUGUUGCAUAUGUAGUUUAGAGAAUUCAUUAGACAUAUUAAUUUUUUAAAAGAAAUUAAUGUAAAAUUAAUCUUAAUUGUAGGCAAGAAACCUCAUCAUUUUAGAUGUGUAAAAGUACAUAUGUCCCAAACUUUAAAAAAAAAAAUAUGGUCGCUUCAGCGAUAUACCUACUUACACAGAUAAGAAUGAUAAAUUCAACACUUUAAAUUGUUGAUAUAUAUAAGGUAUAUAAUGAUAACAUAUAGAGGUUAGGUUGAGAGAAUAUAAGACCUACUAAGAAAUCCCAAAUAAUUUUCAAUAGAAUCCUUAUGUAGCUCACGUGACGUCCUGGAAUCCCUAAUUAAAAGUGAGAACGCGAUUUGGUCAUUAAAGUGACUACGGAAAGAUGGAAUGAAUUUGGAAACAACAAAUUUAUAUAUUAUAUUUAACUUAACAAUACCUUUCCAAAAAAAAAAUAUCAUUGUUAGGCUCCAAGAUCUAAACCCUAUCUCAUAUCGAGAUGUCAGGAGCACCUCGAUCAUAAUUAUAUUUAUGUGGAUAGGAGCAUUUGGGUAAAACCAAAAAAAUAUAGAGAGGCAUAAAGGUGAGAAAAACACAAAAAAGGUAGGUUGAAGUGUGUUGAAUUUUUAUGAAAAAUAUUUUCUAAAUUAAAAACAAAUCAACAUGAUCAGAGUUUAUAGUAAAAAUUGAUGUUUGUUUACAUUUUUGAGUCAAAUAGUGGUAAACUAAAAUAAGCACAAAGUAAUUCUAAACACUUAAAAAAUUCUAGGAUGACAGUUUGUAAGAAUUUUUUUAAGUGUUUUUGCACUAGAAAUUUUGUCAGAGUUUUGGCACAAUUGAAAGCACUUAAUUGUUUCUCUUUCUUCAAACGCUCAAUGUAAUUUUAUAAGAGAUUUGAAUAGAGCCAUUGUUUGAAGAUAUUUCCAGCACAUCAAGAGCUAUCUUCAUAAUUAAAAUCUUUUCCUCUGAGGGAUAAUUUCGUUGAACACUACUUUAGAAUUUCUUUGCUUCUUUAAGAAUGAUAUGUUGCAUCCACUUUGUCUUAUAAGAGCUUUAUCCGCUUCUACAACGUGUCUUCAUUUAACUCAACAUGACAAAACAUACUACUAAACAUGGAUAAUGACAUUUCUUCAAAAUAAGACAAGACUGGUCAGCUGUUCUUCAGAGCGCUGAGCGUUGACUUUAUCCUUCAGAUUUUCGUCUUCAUACCAAAGUUUGUCUUACUAACUUGAUCCAUAUUUGAUCAGAGCUUUGGAUUUUUAUUUACCAACUUCAAAUCAGAUCUUUGUCAUCAAAACUUUAUCUUGGGUACCAAAUAUGUCUACCUUGUAGAACCAAGAUGGAAUUAUUUUCUUCAGAAUUUAGUGUUUUCAGAGUCAAAAUAUUGACUUCAGAGUCAGAAUGUAAUUCUAUGUUCCUGCAUACUACAACAAAAUUUAGGGUAUCCAAUUGUUCUUUUAUACAUUGUCAGCAUCAAAACCUUAGAGACAUUAUUCUAAAACUUAUUUUGGUUCAACAAGGCAGAGAGACAUUGUGAGAAUUUAUAAAAAGAGAGAGAAAAACUAAUUGAAUGUUGAAUGGCUAUUGGGAUUUAUUACCUCGUGAUGUUAUGGUGUAUCGAUAAAUCUUGGUAAUGCAGACUAGUCUCUUAAUAAAAUCAUAGUAGUGAAAGUGUUUUGCACUAAAAUUCAUUGAGAGGGAUGUUAUUCUUAUAUGAUAGUCGAUUUCCUCCUAUGCUACUUUCUUGAGCUUGAGUUAUUUGUAAGACAUGUAUAAGGAGUAUAGGUGCAUGAAUAUUGCAUUUGAUGUAUAUAUCUUGUCAUAUCUUGUAUAGUUAUAUGUCCACCUUAGAUGUUUUUGUGUUUUGUAUGUAUCUUUUUAUGUUUGUUUCUAAUUGAGUGACUUGGAACUUAUAUCACCCCAAUGUUUUCUAACUAUUUAUCUUGUAUAAAUUAUAUGCAGGCUAUAAUCAAGAUAAGAUUGAGGAAUAAUAUCGAAGUGUUUAUUCAUGAGAAUAAAUUGGAUAAUUAUUAUCUCACAUAUGUUAUGGUGUUCCUGAAAGUUUAGAAUUAUUGUUUAUGAUUAAAGUGGGUUAUAAGACUUUGAUAUUAUGAUAUCAAGUUUGGGGUUAAUAAUAUGGUUUUGACUUAUUUUGUUGGAUAUAGAACAAAUAUUAAAUGUGAUUUUAUUAUAAGAAUAAUCGUAAGGUUUUAAGAAAUUGAUAUAUUUUAUUUUAAAUUAUGAUGUUCUGUUAUUAUUAGUGGUGUAGAUGUGAUAUCUUAUACAGUAUAAAAAUUUAUUUAUUUUACG
rnacentral:lncRNA from 1 species